GAAUCUACCAAGAAACUUCUGGUUUGAUUGUUAUAGUUUAAACAUAGAUUUAUCUUUUCUUUAGGGUGACCGUGGACCAGCAGGAGCACCAGGACUGUCAGGGACACCGGGAAAGCCGGGAUCUCCUGGGUCCCCAGGCUUGCCAGGAGAACCUGUAAGUGCAGAUUUGAGUUCUGGAUUCUUACAAUAGCAAACAAAUAUUUAAGACACCUAGUGCAAGAUUUUUCAUGCAGUGUUUUCAUGUGUGUUUUCUUCUUCCUUAGGGUGAAAGAGGACCUAUAGGAGAUAUAGGCUUCCCUGGUCCAGAAGGGCCCCAAGGAAAACCAGUAAGC
rnacentral:lncRNA from 1 species